rnacentral:rRNA from 1 species
AUUGAACGCUGGCGGAAUGCUUUACACAUGCAAGUCGAACGGCAGCACGGACUUCGGUCUGGUGGCGAGUGGCGAACGGGUGAGUAAUGUAUCGGAACGUGCCCAGUCGUGGGGGAUAACGUAGUGAAAAUUACGCUAAUACCGCAUACGAUCUAUGGAUGAAAGCGGGGGAUCGCAAGACCUCGCGCGAUUGGAGCGGCCGAUAUCAGAUUAGGUAGUUGGUUGGGUAAAGGCCCACCAAGCCAACGAUCUGUAGCUGGUCUGAGAGGACGACCAGCCACACUGGAACUGAGACACGGUCCAGACUCCUACGGGAGGCAGCAGUGGGGAAUUUUGGACAACGGGCGAAAGCCUGAUCCAGCCAUUCCGCGUGCAGGAUGAAGGCCCUCGGGUUGUAAACUGCUUUUGUACAGAACGAAAAGGUUUCUACUAAUACUAGGAGCUCAUGACGGUACUGUAAGAAUAAGCACCGGCUAACUACGUGCCAGCAGCCGCCGUAA